UGUGGUAGAGGAAAGGGGCCUAUUUCAUAAAAGUGACAGGUGCGACAAUUGUCGAUUUUUCUAUAAAAUUUCACUGCCAGAAUUGUCGGCGACAUUUUUCCUGUUUCAUAUAUGUUUGUAGGCAACUGUGAAAAUUUUUGGAAAACGACAGUGAUAAUAUGGAAUAUUGUCGAUAAUUGUGCUGACAAUUGUCACUCUGACAAAAUUGUCGCG